GAUGAAGAACGUAGCGAAAUGCGAUACGUAAUGUGAAUUGCAGAAUUCAGUGAAUCAUCGAGUCUUUGAACGCACAUUGCGCCCCCUGGUAUUCCGGGGGGCAUGCCUGUCCGAGCGUCAUUGCUGCCCUCAAGCACGGCUUGUGUGUUGGGCCUCCGUCCUCCUCCCGGGGGACGGGCCCGAAAGGCAGCGGCGGCACCGCGUCCGGUCCUCGAGCGUAUGGGGCUUCGUCACCCGCUCUGUAGGCCCGGCCGGCGCCUGCCGAUCAACCAAACUUUUUUCCAGGUUGACCUCGGAUCAGGUAGGGAUACCCGCUGAACUUAAGCAUAUCAAUAAGCGGAGGA
rnacentral:misc_RNA from 1 species